GUUGGUGAAUAUUCAGUAAUUUAAUUCGGAGUAAAAUAAGGACAAUCCAGAGUUGUUUAAUGCGCUACGAUAGGCUCCUGUCCACCAGGACAAAAGUGAGAUAAUGAGAGGGAAGAAGACACUUAUAUUAAGUGGAAAAGAGCAUUAAAGGUUCAAGUGAAGGAGGAAGAAAUAGGAGAGAAGAGGUGGUACUGAUAAGGCUGAGAUUAGGCCAUUGUUCUUUAAAUAAUAGAUUGAAAUUGGUCGGGGAGCAUGAGACUGAGCUGUGCUAAGAGUGUCAGGAAAUGGAGACGAUGGAACAUGUUAUGUGGUGAGGAACAAACAGGUGUGAUGAGGAACAGGCUGGGAAAAUAUGAGGGGAAGGAGGUAACACUGCUUAUUAGACAUGGGGGACAGGGUACAGGGAAAGAUACUGCUACAGUAUCUAAGGGAAACGGGCAUUUAUCACGGGAUUUAGGAAGAUGGCGCAUUAGGGUGACACGAGUGUCACAGUCAAGCCAGUUUUUAUUAAUUGGGGAGCCGCAGCUAAAAUUAUCAUCAAAAGGUGGCGGUAAUGCACCAAAGAGAUGGAUGACAGCCGCCGUUAAACACGAAGAAGAAGCCGAAGUGAGGUAGCGGCUCCAGCAGUAGAAGCUGGUUCAGUUGAGUUGCUUGCUGCCUGGCUGGACGGUUGUUAGAAGAUGGUAAGACGAUUGUACGAAUUUCAUUUGGGUUGCAUUUCGAUGUUAUAAUGUAAUGAUCUUAGAGCUGUUCUAUGUGAAGAAUCUCAUCCCACCGCAGCUCUGUUCAUGAACGACUAGCAGCGAACAUUUCGCAUUAAGUCAGAUGUAACUUCUACACAGUUUGCUGAAAGCUAAAUACAAGUGCUGAUUUGUUCUGUUUCAAAGGGCGUUUUGUUGUGAUUUCAGCUGGUCUCAUCAAUUGUUUAAUGGUCUUAGUCGUCAUUUAUAUGUGUUGACAUUAGUAGCAGAGAUAACGUUUGUCCAACUACAGUAACGCCAGGCCUAUGUCCACGUGGUUAGCCGUUCAAGUAGCAUUAGCAUGAUGGGCCAGUCAGUAGUCACAACUCAUGUUGCGGCAAAAUAAUACUUUACAUUCUCUAAUGACUUAUUAGGUAACUUACUAAUAACUUCAAGGCAGUGGACAUAAAAAUGUCCAUUACCUCUAGGAGUGAGUGCGUGACGCCGACGUUCCCUCCCCUGAUGACUUGCACUGGGCUCUGAAUCAUUAUGAAGAGAGUCGUGCAUCUUUGGCCCUGACAAGCCAGAGUUUCUGAGGAGAAAACGAACCCAGUGUUGUCCAAAGCCGAUGAUCUGGGCAAUAUAGUAACUCAACUGUCCUUGUCUUCAGGUCCUUGAAGAAUGACACUCGCUCAAAUCAAGCCGGACCAAGUAAAGGUGGGUGGAGGACACCUGUCUAUGGUACUAACACAUAAUACAUAAGUAAAUAAGAUAAAUGAAUGAGACUGCCAUCCCUGUCAUCUAAUAAGACAGAUGUUAAUCUUUAAAACCCGGCUUACACAUAUCAGGUGUCACUAUGCCCUGUGUCCACGUGAGAGCAGUAAAGUCAUGAUUUCACCUGUCAUGAGUCAAAUCAGACAGAAGCCUACCGAGACGUUCAUCAACCACUACACCUCUUUUAAAUCAAUCAGAGUGGGCUCAGAAAUGAUUUAUUUAUUUUUGCUUCCCGGUAAGGUAAUUCUUUCAGAAGGCAGGAUCUUGGGUUUGAGUAACUGAUUCAUGUCCUUCUCUCCCCUGAUGACUUGCACUGGGCUCUGAGUCUGUAUGGAGAGAGUCGUGCGUCUUUGGCCCUGACAAGCCAGAGUUUCUGAGGAGAGAACAAACUCUCAGUAAUAAACAAAACAACAAGUCAUGACAAAGUAACUCACUUUUUUCCCUUGUCUCUCUAGGUUUGUUUAAAAAAAAAAAAAAAAAAGACGUUGCUCACAGUGGACUUAAACCAGGUAUUAGUCCUGCAGAAACUCUUCCUUGUUACAAUCCCAGAAUGCAGAAUGUUCUAAUACUUAAAUACAGUCUGUUUUGUUCCAGUUGUAAUCUGUGUUUGUCCUGAUCAAAUAAAUCUCUGCAUCUUGAA